rnacentral:ribozyme from 1 species
UUGACCCGGGCUCUCAAACCUUGGUGGCAUGGCUCAGGAAUGAAACGCCUUGGUGAGACCAACGCUAUAUCUUUGGAUGCCUUCUCUUUGACCUCCUUUAUUCUUGUGACCCAU